AGGGGCAUAGCUCAGAGGUAAAGCAUAUGCUUAGCAUGCAUCAAGAUCCUGGAUUCAAUCCCCAGUACCUCCA
rnacentral:tRNA from 1 species